AUUGAACGCUGGCGGCCGGCCUAACACAUGCAAGUCGAACGAGUGGCGGACGGGUUAGUAAUGUCUGGGAACCUGCCCGAUGGAGGGUGAUAACUACUGGAAACGGUAGCUAAUACCGCAUACCUUCGUAUGUGCCCAGAUGGGUUUAGCUUGUAGGUGGGGUAAUGGCUCACCUGGGCGACGAUCCCUAGCUGGUCUGAGAGGAUGACCAGCCACACUGGAACUGAGACACGGUCCAGACUCCUACGGGAGGAAGAAGUGGGGAAUAUUGCACAAUGGGAGCAAGCCGGAUGCAGCCAUGCCGCGUGUAUGAAGAAGGCCUUAGGGUUGGAAAGUACUUUCAGCGGGGAGGCGUUACCCGCAGAAGAAGAACCGGCUAACGCCGUGCAAGCAGACGCGGUAAUUC
rnacentral:rRNA from 1 species